rnacentral:rRNA from 1 species
UACGUAGGGGGCAAGCGUUGUCCGGAUUUAUUGGGCGUAAAGAGCGUGUAGGCGGCUAGGUAGGUCCGUUGUGAAAACUCGAGGCUCAACCUCGAGCUGUCGAUGGAAACCAUCUGGCUAGAGUCCGGAAGAGGAGAGUGGAAUUCCUGGUGUAGCGGUGAAAUGCGCAGAUAUUAGGAAGAACACCCGUGGCGAAGGCGGCUCUCUGGUACGUGACUGACGCUGAGACGCGAAAGCGUGGGGAGCGAACAGG